rnacentral:rRNA from 1 species
AACGCGAAGAACCUUACCUACUCUUGACAUCCUGCGAACUUGGUAGAGAUACCUUGGUGCCUUCGGGAACGCAGAGACAGGUGCUGCAUGGCUGUCGUCAGCUCGUGUUGUGAAAUGUUGGGUUAAGUCCCGUAACGAGCGCAACCCUUGUCCUUAGUUGCCAUCAUUUAGUUGGGGACUCUAAGGAGACUGCCGGUGACAAACCGGAGGAAGGCGGGGACGACGUCAAGUCAUCAUGGCCCUUACGAGUAGGGCUACACACGUGCUACAAUGGCAAGUACAGAGGGCCGCGAAGCCGCGAGGUGGAGCAAAUCCCUUAAAACCGUUCGUAGUCCGGAUUGGAGUCUGCAACUCGACUCCAUGAAGUCGGAAUCGCUAGUAAUCGCGAAUCAGAAUGUUGCGGUGAAUACGUUCCCGGGUCUUGUACACACCG